GAAUUCCUCGCUCUUUUCUUUUUUACUUCCUCCAACUUCACUUCAUCACUAUUAUUCUUUUCGACUUCCACACUUUCUUUAUUUUCUACUUCACCAUUUUUCUCGUCCUUUUCAACUUCUUCGUCACUCCACUCCCCAACUUCACCCUCAAUGCUCUUCUCUAUUUUUUUCUCCUCAUCUUUUUCCUCAUCCUCUCUUUUUUCACUCUCAUCUCUUUUUUUACU
rnacentral:lncRNA from 1 species